rnacentral:rRNA from 1 species
ACAAUGAAGAGUUUGAUCCUGGCUCAGGAUGAACGCUAGCGGCAGGCUUAACACAUGCAAGUCGAGGGGCAUCGCGUUUUGUAGCAAUACAGGAUGGCGGCGACCGGCGCAAGGGUGCGUAACGCGUGAGCAACAUGCCCGUGUCACGGGGAUAACCCGGAGAAAUCCGGCCUAAUACCCGAUGGUUUCCUAAGAUGGCAUCAUUAUAGGAAUAAAGAUUUAUCGGACACGGAUUGGCUCGCGUGACAUUAGCUAGUCGGUGGGGUAACGGCCCACCGAGGCGACGAUGUCUAGGGGAACUGAGAGGUUGGUCCCCCACACUGGAACUGAGACACGGUCCAGACUCCUACGGGAGGCAGCAGUG